GCCCAGAUAGCUCAGUCGGUAGAGCAGGGGACUGAAAAUCCUCGUGUCGGUGGUUCGAUUCCGCCUCUGGGCACCA
rnacentral:tRNA from 1 species